GAUGAACGCUGGCGGCGUGCCUAAUACAUGCAAGUCGAGCGAAUGGAUUAAGAGCUUGCUCUUAUGAAGUUAGCGGCGGACGGGUGAGUAACACGUGGGUAACCUGCCCAUAAGACUGGGAUAACUCCGGGAAACCGGGGCUAAUACCGGAUAACAUUUUGAACCGCAUGGUUCGAAAUUGAAAGGCGGCUUCGGCUGUCACUUAUGGAUGGACCCGCGUCGCAUUAGCUAGUUGGUGAGGUAACGGCUCACCAAGGCAACGAUGCGUCGCCGAACUGAGAGGAUGAGCGGCCACACUGGUACUGAGACACGGCCCAGACUCCUACGGGAGGCAGCAGUAGGGAAUCUUCCGCAAUGGACGAAAGUCUGACGGAGCAACGCCGCGUGAGUAAUAAAGGCUUUCGGGUCGUAAAACUCUGUUGUUAGGGAAGAACAAGUGCUAGUUGAAUAAGCUGGCACCUUGACGGUACCUAACCAGAAAGCCACGGCUAACUACGUGCCAGCAGCCGCGGUAA
rnacentral:rRNA from 1 species